GGUUUUUAUAGUAAAGGUUGUCGUUGCCUGAUGUGCCCGCUUGUAGAGAGCAGGAUCAUACUUCUGGUAACGUCUGACAGCGGUGUUGGCGUGGCGUGAAGGACCGAGCCUGAGCAGGAUAUUAAUAUGCCUCGAUCGGCAUUCCGAUCUGUUUGAACAGGUGCUAUCAGGUCAAUCGAAGCACGAUGCGUCAUUAGAGACGAUUGACGUUAAAUCGAGUCUCAUCGCCGUUAUUAUCCUUGUCAAUUAGGAUCAACAGUAGAGAGAGAGAGAGAGAGAGAGAGAGAAACGAGAACAUCACCGGUGAGUGAAGAAUUGUGUGUUGCAUAACAUUACUUGUUCGUCGUUCUUCAAAUGUUGUGCGUGCUGCACGGCAUCUCAACCCGAAGGGAUUAUGAGAACUUGAUAGUUUGACGAGGAGAGAGAGAGAGAGAGAGAGAGACCUACAUGAAUCAUGAGGUAGCCUCAAAACACAAGAUUUGGUGCUUUGUACUGUUGAUUUCCUGCAUCCUGCAGCAAAACUUUGAUCGUGUGGUGGUCUUUCAAGUUUUCUGAGCACUAAUGGCAGUCCAUGUGAUCCUCUUUCAUGCUUUACCACCAAAGUCCUGCUCAAAUGACUCCAGUUUAAUGACAACCAAUAAAAAUAAAAUAAAAUAAAAUAUUUCUAUUUGAUUUUUUUCUCUUUUUUUUUUUACUUGUCAAUUCAAAACGUAACAACUAUUGAGUAUUCUGCAUUAGAACUACUGGUCUAAACCGGGAGAAUGAUCAGAACAACGCUGAAUAUGAUAAGCUAAUAGGCCAUCAAGAAUAGUUAAUCCCAAG
rnacentral:lncRNA from 1 species